rnacentral:rRNA from 1 species
UACGUAGGUGGCAAGCGUUGUCCGGAAUUAUUGGGCGUAAAGCGCGCGCAGGCGGCUUUUUAAGUCUGAUGUGAAAGCCCACGGCUCAACCGUGGAAGGUCAUUGGAAACUGAAAGGCUUGAGUAUAGAAGAGGAAAGCGGAAUUCCACGUGUAGCGGUGAAAUGCGUAGAGAUGUGGAGGAACACCAGUGGCGAAAGGCGCU